rnacentral:rRNA from 1 species
UACGUAGGGUGCAGGCGUUAAUCGGAAUUACUGGGCGUAAAGCGUGCGCAGGCGGUUUCUUAAGUCAGAUGUGAAAGCCCCGGGCUUAACCUGGGAACUGCGUUUGAAACUGGGAGACUUGAGUGUGGCAGAGGGGGGUGGAAUUCCACGUGUAGCAGUGAAAUGCGUAGAGUAAUGUGGAGGAACACCGAUGGCGAAGGCAGCCCCUGGGUUAACACUGACGCGCUCAUGCACGAAAGCGUGGGGAGCAAACAGGA